rnacentral:tRNA from 1 species
GUGUAGCGCAGUCUGGUAGCGCACCUCGUUCGGGACGAGGGGGUCGCAGGUUCAAAUCCUGCCACUCCGACCA